GCUCGCCAUCGCUCCCCUCCGGCCCAACUGCCGCUCCUCCUCCUCCUCGGUCGACGCCGGCGCCGGUGGAUGGCUCCGCCGCGCCAAAUCGAGCCCCUCACGCCGCGAGCCGCUCCUCCUCCUCAGCCUGCAAUCCCCGCCGAGCUCCGAUCCCCGCCGCCGUCAGGCUCCUCCGAUCCGCGGGCGAUCGCCGGGGCGCCGCCAAGAUCAGCCCCGGCUCCUCCCGUUCCUUUAGGAAUUUAUCCGAGAACAAGGUGGCCGAUUGAGCAUGCCGAUGCUCUACAGAUAUGCUCAGUAAUUUCCCAUUAGGUGGGCAGAGAUUACUCCAAAGAGGAGACGUCCUUUGUCUUGCAAAUAUGGAAAUACCAGUGCUCAGUUAUCCAGAAAUUCCAAUGGUAUGUUCAAGCUUGGUGUAAUUACUUUGUUCCUCGUUCUUGAUUUGUUACAAUCCUACAAGGUAUCACUCAAAGAACUUUAUUAGAAUUGUAACAGCUGAUUUUGCUUCUACAAUUUUGUUCUAUGCACCACCUGUACAUUGCAUCCCCAGUCGGGCAUUUAUAUGCCUUGAAUGGAACAAUGAAAUAUCGAUGAUGGUAUUCA